rnacentral:rRNA from 1 species
CCUACGGGUGGCAGCAGCAGGGAAUCUUGCGCAAUGGGCGAAAGCCUGACGCAGCGACGCCGCGUGGGGGAUGAAGGCUCUAGGGUUGUAAACCCCUUUUGCUGGGGAAGAAGAUCUGACGGUACCCAGCGAAUAAGGCCCGGCCAACUACGUGCCAGCAGCCGCGGUAAAACGUAGGGGCCAAGCGUUGUCCGGAAUUAUUGGGCGUAAAGUGCGCGUAGGCGGUUGGAUAAGUCUCUUGUGAAAGCUCCCGGCUCAACUGGGAGAGGUCAAGGGAUACUAUUCGACUAGAGGACAGCAGAGGUAAGCAGAAUUCCCGGUGUAGCGGUGGAAUGCGUAGAUAUCGGGAGGAACACCAGUGGCGAAAGCGGCUUACUGGGCUGUAUCUGACGCUGAGGCGCGAGAGCGUGGGGAGCAAACUGGAUUAGAUACCCAGG